rnacentral:tRNA from 1 species
GGUGUAGCUCAAUUGGCAGAGCGCCUGGCUGUUAACCAGGAGGUUGGAGGUUCGAACCCUCCCG